GAUGAACGCUGGCGGUAUGCUUAACACAUGCAAGUCGAACGGACUCUUCGGAGUUAGUGGCGGACGGGUGAGUAACGCGUGAGAAUCUGGCUUUGGGUUCGGGACAACCACUGGAAACGGUGGCUAAUACCGGAUGUGCCGAGGGGUAAAAGAGAAAUUGCCUGAAGAUGAGCUCGCGUCUGAUUAGCUAGUUGGUGAGGUAAAGGCUCACCAAGGCAGCGAUCAGUAGCUGGUCUGAGAGGAUGACCAGCCACACUGGGACUGAGACACGGCCCAGACUACUACGGGAGGCAGCAGUGGGGAAGAUUCAGCAAUGGGCGAAAGCCUGACGGAGCAAUACCGCGUGAGGGAAGAAGGCUCUUGGGUUGUAAACCCCUUUUCUUAGGGAAGAACAAAAUGACGGUACCUAAGGAAUCAGCAUCGGCUAACUCCGU
rnacentral:rRNA from 1 species